rnacentral:rRNA from 1 species
AGCUAAUAGAUACCCUGGUAGUCCUGGCAGUAAACGGUGCGCGUUUGGUGUGGGAGGAUUCGACCCCUUCUGUGCCGGAGCUAAACGCGUUAAACGCGCCGCCUGGGGAGUACGGUCGCAAGAUUAAAACUCAAAGAAAUUGACGGGGGCCCGCACAAGCGGUGGAGUAUGUGGCUUAAUUCGAUGCAACGCGAAGAACCUUACCUAGCCUUGACAUGCAUCUCUAAGUCGGUGAAAGCCGGCGACUAUAGCAAUAUAGAAUUUGCACAGGUGCUGCAUGGCUGUCGUCAGCUCGUGUCGUGAGAUGUUGGGUUUAAGUCCCGCAACGAGCGCAACCCCUGUGAACUGUUGCCACCACACUUCGGUGUGAGCACUCUGUUCAGACUGCCCUGUGAAACGGGGAGGAAGGUGGGGAUGACGUCAAGUCAGCAUGGCCCUUACGGCUAGGGCUGCACACGUACUACAAUGCCCAGUACAGAACGAACCGAAACCGCGAGGUGGAGGAAAUCCCAAAAACUGG